UACAGAGGUCUCAAGCGUUGUUCGGAUUCAUUGGGCGUAAAGGGUGCGUAGGCGGUUCGGUAAGUCGGGUGUGAAAACACGAGGCUCAACCUCGUGCGUGCAUCCGAUACUGCCGGACUAGAGGUAGGUAGGGGAGAUCGGAAUUCCUGGUGUAGCGGUGAAAUGCGCAGAUAUCAGGAGGAACACCGGUGGCGAAGGCGGAUCUCUGGGCCUUACCUGACGCUCAGGCGCGAAAGCUAGGGGAGCGAACAGG
rnacentral:rRNA from 1 species